AUGGAGUCCUCUGGUUCCUCCGUGUCCACCUUCCCCGCCGACAACGAUAGGUCCCUGCCGCUGGCCACCCGUACCGAGGAUGACAAGGCAGGGUACACGAGCCAAACGUCGUCUCGCACGCGGUCAUCGACUUCCAUCAACGAGGUGCAGGAGGCCAGGUUCAAGUGCGAGUACUGCCCGCGCAGGUUCACGACCGUGCAGGGGCGGUCUGGGCACCAGACGAUGCACAGGCACCUGUGGGCGCCAGACGGCCCUGUCAAGAAGAAGGCACGCAUAGACCCUCCUCCCGCUUGGUCGUCGGCGCCCAUCUGGGCGUCAUCGUCGAACAUCACCGCCUUGGGCAGAGCUUGCCUCCAUGAGAACCUGUUUGCCGCCCACUACUACCCCUCGGCCCCCUUCGUGCCUCCUUCAAUGCAGUGGCAAUGGCAGACUGGUACUAGCCUUGCUCCAACUCAACCACCAUCUGGUCUGUCGGCGCGUGUGGCCGGCGGCAAACAGGUUCACCUUGGACACCAGCAAGGCGUAGAUCACCGUGGACACCACCAAGGCGUAGAUCACCGUGGACACCAGCAAGGCGUAGAUCAGGAAGGGACUUCAGACGGGAUUGAUCUGACCCUGAGGCUCUAG
rnacentral:rRNA from 1 species